rnacentral:rRNA from 1 species
GUGCCAGCAGCCGCGGUAAUACUAGCGGUCCAAGUCGCAACCACAUUUAUUGGGUCUAAACGUCCGUAGCUUGCUUGAUAAGUUUCUUGUGAAAUUCUAUGCCUCAAACAUAGAGCGUGCAAGAAAUACUAUCUAGCUAGAGAUCGGGAGACGUAAGGAGUACGUUUAAAGUAGUAGUAAAUGCUUUAAUCUUAAGCGGACUAACAAUAGCGAAGGCACCUUACGAGAACGGUUCUGACAGUCAGGGAUGAAGGCUAGGGGCGCAAAACGGAUUAGAUACCCGUGUAGUCCUAGCAGUAAACACUGUACACUAAACAUUGGGACCUCUUCGAGAGGUUUCAGUGCUGCAGGGAAGCCGAAGAGUGUACUACCUGGGAAGUAUAGCCGCAAGGCCGAAACUUAAAUGAAUUGGCGG